CUUGAGCCUACAGAAAUAGAUUUUUAUAGAAACUCUUCGCUCUCCCAAGUAAACACAACAAAUCCGAAUUUUAGGGUUUCUUUUCCUCAAAAAUUUGAUUUCCUCGUUACUUCUGUUUCAAUUUCGUUCUCUCCCAUCCUCCGUUUCAAAUCCAAAACUAGGGUUUUUUUAGCAAUGGCGACAGCGACAAGUCAGGGUCGUGAUCCGCUGUUCGUGUCUUCUUCCUUCUCCUCAUCAAAAUCUGAUCGAGCGGCAGCGAUAAGGAUUAGGUUUGCGGAUAUCAUUGUUAAGUCGAGUAGUAACAAGUCUGAGGCAAUGCUGAAGAUCAAAAGAGAAGAAAAAGCAAGAAUGAAACUCAGACAAGAGGCAAGGCUUGCGGUGCUGAAGGUGGAAGAAGAAGAAGCAAGAUCAGAUUGUAAGUAUGAAAAUCCUCUGUCUGUCGAAAAAGAACUGUUGAGUCUCAUUGGCGGUUCCCGUCGGGCAAGAGAUCGAUCUUUGCUUAAACAGUUUGGGUUGGUUUUAAAACCCGAUGUCGAUGAUGAUGUUCUUGAUGAUCUUGAGGAAGCUUUCAAAGUUGUUAAACGCAUUCGGAGUUUCUUAGUGUUCUUGGUUUCAUUAUACAUAUAACAAAUCUGAGGGAUGACAAACUCUUCUUGAUUGACCACCAUGUUGCUGUACAUGUUACAAGUGCUCAGGAAUACAUAUACGUGUUAAUUCAGGCCAAUGUUGACACAGGCAGACAAGUCAGGGCUGCUGUUAAAAAAAGACGAUUGAGAUGUGGUUCAAUUAGCACGGUUCUGUGUGAGAUAUAUCACUGUGACGAGUCUGAUAUUCCAAAGGAUGAUGUAGCAGUGAUGUUUCCAAGGGUUUUCCAGUCUAGCUCACCAUAUUGGGUCAGCUUUACAAGAUUUGGCGUCCAUGAGACACUACCAUGGCAUGUUCGGGUUGUUAAAGAAGCUGAACGGUGGGUUACAACAACGUUAGUUACCAUUGCUGUAAAUUUGUUCUUGCUGCAUCUGAGCCUCCAUGCUGUUUUUCACCAUUAUGAGAAAGUAUUGCUGAACUGGCUAAGUUAAGUCCUUGCUAUUGCUGAACUGGCUAAGUGAAGAGAGAAGUGAGAUGGCAGUUACAGAGCUGAAGAUUGGUGGAGUAUAAAUAGGGCUUGUUGCUUAUCGAUUGUUUAGAAUCUUAUCAUUGGGCUUGUUGAGUUUUCUCUUCAAGAAUGGCAGUUUCAAGAGCUUGUUCUUGAUCUUGAAGGAUUGUUUCCAUGAAUUUGGUGGAUUCGAUGUUGUUUUUUCUUGUUAAUCAGUCAUAUAUAG